UUGUGUGCGAGCUUGCUCGCGAUUGCGGUGAGUCAGUUGCAUGGAUGUUGGCUGAUCUGCCGCUAUCGCGAGCAAGCUCGCUCCCAC
rnacentral:misc_RNA from 3 species